GAUGAAGAACGCAGUGAAAUGCGAUAAAUAAUGUGAAUUGCAGAAUUCAGUGAAUCAUCGAAUCUUUGAACGCACAUUGCGCCCGCUAGUAUUCUGGCGGGCAUGCCUGUUCGAGCGUCAUUUCAACCAUCAAGCCCUGUUUAGGCUUGUGUUGGGGCCCUGCGGCUGCCGCAGCCCCCUAAAUGCAGUGGCGGGCUCGUUGUCACUCCGAGCGCAGUAGCGUAUCUCGCUCUGGGCGUGGCGGCGGGUGCUAGCCGUGAAACACCCACUAAGGUUGACCUCGGAUCAGGUAGGAAUACCCGCUGAACUUAAGCAUAUCAAUAAGCGGAGGA
rnacentral:misc_RNA from 1 species